rnacentral:rRNA from 1 species
AGAGUUUGAUCCUGGCUCAGGAUGAACGCUAUCGACAGGCUUAACACAUGCAAGUCGAGGGGCAGCGGGGGCGUAGCAAUAUGCCUGCCGGCGACCGGCGCACGGGUGAGUAACACGUAUGUAACCUGCCCUAUGCAGGGGGAUAACCCGGAGAAAUCCGGCCUAAUACCGCGUAACACCUUAGGGGAGCAUUCUCUUGAGGUUAAAGGAGAGAUCCGGCAUAGGAUGGACAUGCGCCGCAUUAGGUAGACGGCGGGGUAACGGCCCACCGUGCCGACGAUGCGUAGGGGUUCUGAGAGGAAGGCCCCCCACACUGGUACUGAGACACGGACCAGACUCCUACGGGAGGCAGCAGUGAGGAAUAUUGGUCAAUGGCCGAGAGGCUGAACCAGCCAAGUCGCGUGAGGGAAGAAUGUCCUAAGGAUUGUAAACCUCUUUUGUCGGGGAGCAAAAAGGCUCUGCGGAGUCGUAUUGAGAGUACCCGAAGAAAAAGCAUCGGCUAACUCCGUGCCAGCAGCCGCGGUAAUACGGAGGAUGCGAGCGUUAUCCGGAUUUAUUGGGUUUAAAGGGUGCGCAGGCGGCGUGUCAAGCAAGCGGUAAAAUAGCGGGGCUCAACCCCGUCGAGCCGUUUGAACUGGCGCGCUUGAGUUCAGGCGAGGUAGGCGGAAUUCGUGGUGUAGCGGUGAAAUGCAUAGAUAUCACGAAGAACUCCGAUUGCGAAGGCAGCUUACCAGUCUGCGACUGACGCUCAGGCACGAAAGUGUGGGUAUCGAACAGGAUUAGAUACCCUGGUAGUCCACACAGUAAACGAUGAGCGCUAGGUGUCCGGGUCGCAUGAGACUUGGGUGCCCGAGCGAAAGCGUUAAGCGCUCCACCUGGGGAGUACGCCGGCAACGGUGAAACUCAAAGGAAUUGACGGGGGCCCGCACAAGCGGAGGAACAUGUGGUUUAAUUCGAUGAUACGCGAGGAACCUUACCCGGGCUCAAACGACUCAGGAAUAUAUUGGAAACGAUGUAGCCAGCAAUGGUCUGAGUCGAGGUGCUGCAUGGUUGUCGUCAGCUCGUGCCGUGAGGUGUCGGCUUAAGUGCCAUAACGAGCGCAACCCCUACCGCCAGUUGCCAACGGGUAAAGCCGGGAACUCUGGCGGGACUGCCGGCGCAAGCUGCGAGGAAGGCGGGGAUGACGUCAAAUCAGCACGGCCCUUACGUCCGGGGCGACACACGUGUUACAAUGGCAGGUACAGCGGGAAGCCACCUGGUGACAGGGAGCGGAACCCGAAAGCCUGUCUCAGUUCGGAUUGGAGUCUGCAACUCGACUCCAUGAAGCUGGAUUCGCUAGUAAUCGCGCAUCAGCCAUGGCGCGGUGAAUACGUUCCCGGGCCUUUACAAACCGCCCGUCA